UACGUAGGGACCAAGCGUUGUUCGGAUUUACUGGGCGUAAAGGGCGCGUAGGCGGCGCGGUAAGUCACUUGUGAAAUCUCUGAGCUUAACUCAGAACGGCCAAGUGAUACUGCAGUGCUAGAGUGUGGAAGGGGCAAUCGGAAUUCUUGGUGUAGCGGUGAAAUGCGUAGAUAUCAAGAGGAACACCGGUGGCGAAGGCGGGUCUCUGGGCCGAUACUGACGCUGAGGAGCGAAAGCUAGGGGAGCAAACGGG
rnacentral:rRNA from 1 species